GACGAACGCUGGCGGCGCGCUUAACACAUGCAAGUCGAGCGAGAACCAGUCCUUCGGGACUGGGGACAGCGGCGAACGGGUGAGUAACACGUGAGUAAUCCACCCUCGGUACCGGAAUAGCCCGGGGAAGCCCGGAUUAAUGCCGGAUGGCCCAUCUGCUCUUCGACGCUUGAUGGAAAAGGUAGCUUCGGCCUCCGACCGGGGACGAGCUCGCGGCGGAUUAGCUUGUUGGCGGGGUAAAGGCCCACCAAGGCGACGAUCCGUAGCUGGUCUGAGAGGACGAUCAGCCACACUGGGACUGAGACACGGCCCAGACUCCUACGGGAGGCAGCAGUGGGGAAUCUUGCGCAAUGGGCGAAAGCCUGACGCAGCGACGCCGCGUGAGGGAAGAAGGCCUUCGGGUUGUAAACCUCUUUCAGGAGGGACGAAGCCACUCGGGUGAAUAGCCCAGAGGGUGACGGUACCUCCAGAAGAAGCCCCGGCUAACUACGUGCCAGCAGCCGCCGUAACAC
rnacentral:rRNA from 1 species